rnacentral:rRNA from 1 species
CCUCGAUGUCGGCUCAUCGCAUCCUGGGGCUGGAGAAGGUCCCAAGGGUUGGGCUGUUCGCCCAUUAAAGUGGCACGCGAGCUGGGUUCAGAACGUCGUGAGACAGUUCGGUCCAUAUCCGGUAUAAACGUAAGAAUAUUGAGAGGAGCUUUCCAUAGUACGAGAGGACCUGGAAAGACAAACCAAUGGUGUACCAGUUCUCGUUCCAACGAGAUACGCUGGGUAGCUAAGUUUGGAGUGGAUAACUACUGAAAGCAUCUAAGUAGGAAGCCCACCUCGAGAUGAGUAUUUCUUGGUUUUUUAAUAAAGUCUCAGCAAGAAAAGCUGAUAGAUAGGUAGUGUGUAUAAGACUAGUAAUAGUUUUAGCUUAACUAUACUAAUAAUAC